rnacentral:rRNA from 1 species
UACGUAGGGGGCAAGCGUUGUCCGGAAUUAUUGGGCGUAAAGAGCGUGUAGGCGGUCCGGUAAGUCAGCUGUGAAAGUCAAGGGCUCAACCCUUGAAAGCCGGUUGAUACUGUCGGGCUAGAGUCCGGAAGAGGCGAGUGGAAUUCCCGGUGUAGCGGUGAAAUGCGCAGAUAUCGGGAGGAACACCAAUGGCGAAGGCGGCUCUCUGGGACGGUACUGACGCUGAGACGCGAAAGCGUGGGGAGCGAACAGG